UACGUAGGGGGCUAGCGUUGUCCGGAAUCAUUGGGCGUAAAGCGCGUGUAGGCGGUCCGGUAAGUCCGCUGUGAAAGUCGGGGGCUCAACCCUCGGAUGCCGGUGGAUACUGUCGGGCUUGAGUACGGAAGAGGCGAGUGGAAUUCCUGGUGUAGCGGUGAAAUGCGCAGAUAUCAGGAGGAACACCAGUGGCGAAGGCGACUUCCUGGCCUGUUCUUGACGCUGAGGCGCGAAAGCUAGGGGAGCAAACGGG
rnacentral:rRNA from 1 species